rnacentral:rRNA from 1 species
UGCCAGACUCCUACGGGAGGCAGCAGUGAGGAAUAUUGGUCAAUGGGCGGGAGCCUGAACCAGCCAAGUCGCGUGAGGGAAGACGGUCCUACGGAUUGUAAACCUCUUUUGCCGGGGAGCAAGGGCGGGGACGUGUCCCGGCCCGGAGAGUACCCGGAGAAAAAGCAUCGGCUAACUCCGUGCCAGCAGCCGCGGUAAUACGGAGGAUGCGAGCGUUAUCCGGAUUUAUUGGGUUUAAAGGGUGCGUAGGCGGAAUAUCAAGUCAGCGGUAAAAAUUCGGGGCUCAACCCCGUCGUGCCGUUGAAACUGAUGUUCUUGAGUGGGCGAGAAGUAUGCGGAAUGCGUGGUGUAGCGGUGAAAUGCAUAGAUAUCACGCAGAACUCCGAUUGCGAAGGCAGCAUACCGGCGCCCAACUGACGCUGAAGCACGAAAGCGUGGGUAUCGAACAGGAUUAGAUACCCUAGUA